AGCGUGGAGGAGUCGUGGUGAAUUAACGGUAAAACGCGCGUGACCAACGGAACUAACCUCUCCGACUCCAUGUCAUCAGCGAGGAGGGUUAGCAAAGCGCCGGACAUGUCCGCCAACUGCUGCUGCUUUCUGAUAAAAGAACAUGGCAAGAAUUUCCAGAAAUAGACGGUGUGACCGAUUGCCCAGGUUUUACCUCCUGGAGAUGUUGGUGCCACUUCUCUUUCCCGACGAUCUGACGGUGGAAAACCACCGGGGCAGCGCUCAGACUGAACGAUGUCAUCUCUGCCAGCCUGGUCUUCACAAAUGGCUGCAGUUCUCCUUUAAAGAGUCCAUUUUAGCUUCCACCAUGCUGUGAAUCCAGCAGAGGUCGCGCAGUUGGGUAUCUGCAGGGAGCCUCGGCAAGAGAUGGCAAACCACUACAGCGCUGUGAUUAAGAUCAACUCCAGUUUGAAGCAUUUGAUGAACACAGAUACAGCAACGCUAGAGGAGGGCCAAUUACUCAUGCAUUCAGACACGACUGCAACAUGUGGAUCAGAAGCUCAUUUAGUCCUUUGCUUUGAUUUAACUUCAUCACAGUCAUAAAAAGUACAUCAGUCACAGGAGGGAUAAAGCUUGCUAAGAAAAAAAAGCAAUGUUAACUAAAGUGAAACUCAAUUAAAAUAAUUUCUUCAGCACUAGAGGCCUUUAUUUUUGACAGUAGGCAGACAGGAAGGAGGGGCAAAGAGAGGGGGAGACAUUUGGCAAAGGUCGCUGGGUCCGGGACUGGAACCCGGGACGGCUGCCUCGAGGACUAUAGGACUAUAUGUGGUCACGCGCUAAGACCUACACCACCAGCGCCGCUAAUCUAAGUCCUCAAUCAUAUCAGAUUAAUAUUUUCCUUCCAAUUAGCCAGAAAUGCUUGAUGAAAGAAAAAAAUUAAACGAAAAAUUGCAUAACCUGGAGAAUUCUUCAUUAACCCCCUUAUUCAUAAGAUUAUUUUAAAAAGUCUGGUUGGUCACUGUUUUGAUUCCC